UGUGAUGCCUUCAAUUGGUUUGUUAUACUAUACCAAAAGAACUUGGGGGCUGCUAACUUCAUACAUAUUGAUCAUUAGAUAAUUCACUACAACAAAAAUAGUUUAUAGUGAUGAAAUUUUAGUAACACUGAGAAAUGAGUGUUACUAUAAAUACUUUCUAAUGAUGAUUUUAAAAAAUAUCAUAAAAGAUAUACAAUAUUAUGGUACUUUGUUAAGAAUGUUACUAAAAAUUAUUAUAUAGCGAUGGUAUCUUAUAACUAUCAUAAGAAAUUAUAUUCUAUUAC
rnacentral:lncRNA from 1 species